rfam:Schistosoma haematobium scaffold725_8, whole genome shotgun sequence.
AACUUUUUAAAUUCGUGCCGACAUCUCGUCAGUCACUAACUCAUCAGGAGUGAUGAGACUUCCAAGAUAAGUGAAGCG